GCUGCAGCCUAGCAGCGAAGAGGAACCCAGCAGGGCCGGUUCACAUGGUGGGCAGGAAAGCAUGGCUGCCCACGGCUCUGGGGCAGGGAAAAAUUGCACAUAGAGCCAAAGGAUUGGGGUCCCUCCCUGGAACAUCUGGAUUGGGUUGCCUUACAAGUGGUCUGUGCUUGAGCACACUGAGAGGAAGUUGCAGGCUGGGUGCUCAGUUAACCUGGAUCACCUUCAGAGAGGAAGAGGAACUGCUUCACUUCGGCUUUCCAAAUCGUAUUCUCAGAGCGAGCUGAGUCCAUGUGCAGCCAGCUCGCAAGCUCUCCGGUGAGAUGCUGGGUGUGGAUGGCCAGCCAGCCGGCUCUCACGCCCAUACUGCCACGGGAAUGAAGAGUUGGGAAAUCAGAGAGAGAGUCAUGACGACGACGACGACGACGACGCACGGUGUGGCUGAAGUCUUCCUGGUCCUGCCUGGCCCACGGUCAGGACAAAUCUCUCUCAUCCGCCAGUACCGCAGCCAAGUAAACACGCAGAGACUUAUAUUACUUAUAAACUGUAUGGCCAUGGCAAGCUUCUUGCUAGCUGUUCUUAUAUCUUAAAUUAACCCAUU